GUCCUCCACCAACACUCUACCGUCCUCCCCCUUAAUGCACCUCACCUGAUCGAGGUCACGACCCUUCCUCUCCUUAGCCUUAGCGAGUCUAAACAACUUUUUCUCCCCUCCUUUCCCCUGUAACCCUGCAUACAAGCUCUCAAAAGCGGUCGUCUUAGCAGCCGUGACUGCUGACUUCGUCUCCUUCCUCGCUAGCUUGUACUCUUUCCUACACUUCCGCUUCUCCUCUUCGUCCUUACUUUCCACCAACUUAGCAUACGCCCCUUUCUUGGUCCCCACUUUCUUCUCCACAUCUUCAUUCUACCACCAAUCCCCCCGAUGGUGCCCGGCCCGGCCCCUAGAAACACCCAACAUCUCACUUGCAUUCUCCCUGAUGCACCUUGCUGCCCUGUCCCACAUACUAUCUACCCUCCUUACUCCUCCUCUUUCUAUUCUUCUUUAUACCCAAAUCCAUAACCAAGAGCCUAUGCUGGGUCGAAAGAUUCUCACUCGGGAUGACUUUACAGUCCUUACACAACGCCCUAUCCCCUUUUCUAAGCAACAAAAAGUCAAUCUGAGUCCUGGCUACCGCGCUUCGAAAGGUGAUCAGGUGCUCGUCCUUCUUCAGGAAGUCCGAGUUCACCACCACCAGCCCAAAGGCCCUCGCAAACUCCAAUAGGGUCGCCCCCUCUUCAUUUCUCUCCCCAAAACCAAAACCACCAUGCACAUCCCCAAAGCCUCCCGGUAGCGCCCCGAUGUGCCCAUUGAAAUCCCCUGCUACAACAAUCCC
rnacentral:lncRNA from 1 species